GCAAGGCCGAAACUUAAAAGGAAGUUGACGGAAGGGCACCACCAGGAGUGGAAUCUGCGGCUUAAUUUGACUCAACGCGGGAAAACUCACCAGGUCAGGACACGGUAAGGAUUGACGGACUGAAGGCUCUUUCUCGAUUCCGUGGAAAGUGGUGCAUGGCCGUUUUUUGGUUGGUGGAUCGAUCCGUCUGGUUAAUUCCGUUAACGAACGAGACCUCGGCACUCCGAAUAGCGCGGCGGACGUCGCGGCCUCCGGGGCCGUCUUCCGCACGAGCUUCUUAGAGGGACCGUCCCCCGCCGGGGAAGGAGGUGCGAGGCAACGACAGGUCUGUGAUGCCCUUAGAUGUUCUGGGCCGCACGCGCAUUACACUGACGCGUCCAACGGGUGACUCCCGACCCGAGGGCCGGGGAAUCCGCAAGGCGCGUCGUGAUGGGGGAUUGAACGUUGCAAUUGUUGUUCACGAACGAGGAAUUCCGUAGUAGGCGCGGGUC
rnacentral:rRNA from 1 species